GACGAACCGUGCGAACGUUAUUCGGAAUCACUGGGCUUAAAGCGCGUGUAGGCGGGCGGCACGUCGGUCGCUGAAAGCCCCCGGCUCAACCGGGGAAGUGGCGCCGAUACGACCGCCCUGGAGGGACGUAGGGGGACCUGGAACUUCCGGUGGAGCGGUGAAAUGCGUUGAGAUCGGAAGGAACGCCCGUGGCGAAAGCGAGGUCCUGGACGUUUACUGACGCUGAGACGCGAAAGCCAGGGGAGACCGAACGGG
rnacentral:rRNA from 1 species